rnacentral:rRNA from 1 species
AUUGAACGCUGGCGGCAGGCCUAACACAUGCAAGUCGAGCGGAUGAGUGGAGCUUGCUCCAUGAUUCAGCGGCGGACGGGUGAGUAAUGCCUAGGAAUCUGCCUGGUAGUGGGGGACAACGUUUCGAAAGGAACGCUAAUACCGCAUACGUCCUACGGGAGAAAGCAGGGGACCUUCGGGCCUUGCGCUAUCAGAUGAGCCUAGGUCGGGAUUAGCUAGUUGGUGAGGUAAAGGCUCACCAAGGCGACGAUCCGUAACUGGUCUGAGAGGAUGAUCAGCACCCCUGGAACUGAGACACGGUCCAGACUCCUACGGGAGGCAGCAGUGGGGAAUAUUGGACAAUGGGCGAAAGCCUGAUCCAGCCAUGCCGCGUGUGUGAAGAAGGUCUUCGGAUUGUAAAGCACUUUAAGUUGGGAGGAAGGGCAGUAAGUUAAUACCUUGCUGUUUUGACGUUACCGACAGAAUAAGCACCGGCUAACUUCGUGCCAGCCGCCGCCGUAACAC